CACACACACACACACACACACACACACACACACACACACACACCUCUCUUAAAGGAGCCACAGCACCAUUUUCCAACAAAUGCCUUAUUGCGCUGAUGUGACCAAGCCCAACCCGAACCCGACCAUAAUUUCUAAAUAUCUGUCC